GACGAACGCUGGCGGCGUGCUUAACACAUGCAAGUCGAACGGAAAGGCCCUGCUUUUGUGGGGUGCUCGAUUGGCGAACGGGUGAGUAACACGUGAGUAACCUGCCCUUGACUUUGGGAUAACUUCAGGAGACUGGGGCGCAUACCCGAUAGGAGCUCCUGCUGCAUGGUGGGGGUUGGAAAGUUUCGGCGGUUGGGGAUGGACUCGCUGGGUAUCAGCUUGUUGGUGGGGUAGGUGCGUACCAAGGCUGUGACGGGUAGCCGGCCUGAGAGGGUGACCGGCCGCCCUGGGAGUGAGACACGGUCCAGACUGCUACGGGAGGCGGCAGUAGGCAAUCGGCCGCAAGGGGCGAGAGCCUGACGGAACAGCGCGGCGUGAGUGAUGAAGGUCUCCGGGUCGGGAAACUCGGCUUUUAGGGAAGAACAAAUGUUUACGUGACGAUGCACGUCUUGACGGUAACUGAUCAAAAAGCCACGGCUAACUACGUG
rnacentral:rRNA from 1 species